AUAUUAGAGAUUAAAGUAAAACAAAAAUAAAUUAGAAAAGAUAGAAAAAAAUAAAAUUCGAUGAAAGAAAAAAAAGAAAAAAAAAAGAGAAUAAAGAAAAACGUCUGUUGAUUCGGACAUGUAGGAAUAAGGGUUAGAUAUCUUAGAGUUAGUUUCAAGUUUCGAUCAAAUUAGACGCAAUGCGUCGAGAUGGCUUGCCAGGAGGGCCGCAAUAUUACUCUAUUACAUUGAAAAGCAAGCGCGAAAUCGUUCCACCACUCUUACUGGCAAUCUCUUCGAUUUAAAAUGGUUCACAUCAUUCACAUCGUUCUUUAAGAAACAUUAUUUUUACGAUUAUAGCCAUUAAUCGAUUUCCUUAAAAUGACGCAUACAUAUUUGCAUUUUAUCAUAGAAUAUCGUGAUUUGUAUUAUGCCAAAAAAUCAAAAAUGUCUCUAAACAUGAUCAAUUGUUAUCAUAUUCAAAUGCUUUAAAUCGUCAUAUUCAUUUAUAGAAAAAUGUUUUAAUAAUAAUGAAAAAAUAUUGAAUUCGUCAACUCGAAAAUAAAUGUAAGGUGAAUUGCCUCUAGAAACCUAUCAUUUUGAUUCAUAUUUAUCUUAUCGGAUAAUUUGUAUUUUCGCAAGAAACGAGGAAAUUCUAUAUUCGUCCUGGCAAAGAGAGACUAUCGGUUUCGUAUUUGAAUGAAAGCACAAGUAUCGUUGUUACCAACUUCUAUUCGUGUCAAACAAUAUAAAGUAGAUUAUGUACAAACCAACGGACCUCUCGGUCUCUGUCUUUCUUUCUAUCUAUGCAUUUACUCUUCCAUUAUAUCUCAUCAUUGCCUAUUCUUUUCUCUUCUCUCGCUGUCCUUUACAAUUGCGUAAGCAUAAUAAGUAUUUACUUCCAUACAUGCAUCAAUAUAUGCCAAUUGUUUCACUAUAUAGGAUUGACCGAAAAUACACGAAUUGAAUUCGCUAUAAAUUAUAUAAUAUAUUGGCUAUAAAUUAUAGCAAUAUGCAACGAAAUUUUUUUUUCACAUCACAUAUUACGAAUAAUCCAAAUGACAUUUCGAUCACGUAAGAUGGAAUGCUACAAAAGAAAUUGGACGAUAGCGAAAAACGGAAAUGCGAGAUUACGUUUAUCGACGUAUCUCCGUGAGUUAUCGUUCUUUCUCGUUUUUUCAAACGAGUUUAAAUUCCGAAUUAUCGUCCCGAUAAGCAAUUUGUUCGAUAAUCAAAAAAAAAAAAAAAAAAAAAAAAAAAAACAAAAGACAGGAAUCGUUUAACUAGCAACCAACCAUUGUACAACAAUGGUCCCACGUUGCAAAACAUUCUCAACAGACGCGUUACGUUUUACGUAAUAAUACCGUUAAAAGUUUUGUCUCGUUUCAGGUAAAUUGGAUCGGUCGCGGGUGAACUGAAUAAAAUCGACCAAACAACUCGAAUAGACAUUUGCCCUCAUUGUAUCGAACCUCGAUCUAGGAGAAUACGCUAACAGAAGGAGACUGUAAGAAAGCGAAGUCAACUGUGCUCGCGACGCGAUAUCGAAUAAAACAUCGAAUGUUUGCUAGAUACCAAUUUUUGUACAAUCCCAUUAUCGCAUAUUCGUCUCGAAAAAGGAAAAUGAAAACUGUUUCAAUGAAAGAUCAUCGAUACAAGCUUUCGAAUUUUCGCGAGACGUCUCGUUCUCGUAUCGUGCACGAUCUUUUGCUCGAUACGAUCGUUCGAACUCUUUGCCUCCUGUUUUAUUUGCCAGUUUUCCGGAAUAGCGCCACGAAUAGCGUCACGUUUGUCGUAACCUCGAUAUGUUGUCGGGGCAGAGUAACAGAGUGUCGUUGAGCACAUGGCGCCGUCCGAUUUUCAAACGAUUUAUUUCACUCGUUAACUCGAGUUGUAUAUCGUAUAUUGAAUUGAUCCUUCAAUCGAAAAAAAGAUUAAGGAAGAACGAAAGAAG